rnacentral:rRNA from 1 species
AUUGAACGCUGGCGGCAGGCCUAACACAUGCCAGUCGAGCGGAUGAAGGGAGCUUGCUCCUGGAUUCAGCGGCGGACGGGUGAGUAAUGCCUAGGAAUCUGCCUGGUAGUGGGGGAUAACGUCCGGAAACGGGCGCUAAUACCGCAUACGUCCUGAGGGAGAAAGUGGGGGAUCUUCGGACCUCACGCUAUCAGAUGAGCCUAGGGCGGAUUAGCUAGUUGGUGGGGUAAAGGCCUACCAAGGCGACGAUCCGUAACUGGUCUGAGGGGAUGAUCAGGCACACUGGAACUGAGACACGGUCCAGACUCCUACGGGAGGCAGCAGUGGGGAAUAUUGGACAAUGGGCGAAAGCCUGAUCCAGCCAUGCCGCGUGUGUGAAGAAGGUCUUCGGAUUGUAAAGCACUUUAAGUUGGGAGGAAGGGCAGUAAGUUAAUACCUUGCUGUUUUGACGUUACCAACAGAAUAAGCACCGGCUAACUUCGUG